UACGUAUGGGGCAAGCGUUGUCCGGAAUUACUGGGCGUAAAGAGCUCGUAGGUGGUUUGUCGCGUUGUUCGUGAAAACCUGAGGCUUAACCUUGGGCGUGCGGGCGAUACGGGCAGACUGGAGUACUGCAGGGGAGACUGGAAUUCCUGGUGUAGCGGUGGAAUGCGCAGAUAUCAGGAGGAACACCGGUGGCGAAGGCGGGUCUCUGGGCAGUAACUGACGCUGAGGAGCGAAAGCGUGGGGAGCGAACAGG
rnacentral:rRNA from 1 species